AGUGAACGCUGGCGGUAGGCCUAACACAUGCAAGUCGAACGGCAGCACAGUAAGAGUUUGCUCUUACGGGUGGCGAGUGGCGGACGGGUGAGGAAUACAUCGGACUCUUCUUUUUCGUGGGGGAUAACGUAGGGAAACUUACGCUCAUACCGCAUAUGCUCUACGGGUGAAAGCAGGGGAUCUUCGGACCUUGCGCGAUUGAAUGCGCCGAUGUCGGAUUAGCUAGUUGGCGGGGUAAAGGCCCACCAAGGCGACGAUCCGUAGCUGGUCUGAGAGGAUGAUCAGCCACACGGGAACGUGGACACGGACCAGACUCCUACGGGAGGCAGCAGAGGGGAAUAUUGGACAAAGGUCGCAAGCCUGAUCCAGCCAUACCGCGUGGGUGAAGGAGGCCUUCGGGUUGUAAAGCCCUUUUGUUGGGAAAGAAAAGCAGCAGGUUAAUACCCCGCGGUUCUGACGGUACCCAAUAAAUAAGCACCGGCUAACUUCGUG
rnacentral:rRNA from 1 species